rnacentral:rRNA from 1 species
AUUGAACGCUGGCGGCGGGCCUAACACAUGCAAGUCGAGCGGAUGAAGGGAGCUUGCUCCUGGAUUCAGCGGCGGACGGGUGAGUAAUGCCUAGGAAUCUGCCUGGUAGUGGGGGAUAACGUCCGGAAACGGGCGCUAAUACCGCAUACGUCCUGAGGGAGAAAGUGGGGGAUCUUCGGACCUCACGCUAUCAGAUGAGCCUAGGUCGGAUUAGCUAGUUGGUGGGGUAAAGGCCUACCAAGGCGACGAUCCGUAAUUGGUCUGAGAGGAUGAUCAGUCACACUGGAACUGAGACACGGUCCAGACUCCUACGGGAGGCAGCAGUGGGGAAUAUUGGACAAUGGGCGAAAGCCUGAUCCAGCCAUGCCGCGUGUGUGAAGAAGGUCUUCGGAUUGUAAAGCACUUUAAGUUGGGAGGAAGGGCAGUAAGUUAAUACCUUGCUGUUUUGACGUUACCAACAGAAUAAGCACCGGCUAACUUCGUG